rnacentral:lncRNA from 1 species
UUCAACUACAACGCCAGGCGGAUAUGGAUAUGGAUCUGCAGCAGGAGGAGGGGAAGCACACGGGCAUGAGAAGAAAGGAAUGAUGGAGAAGAUCAAGGAGAAGCUGCCCGGUCACCAUUAAUUAAUAAUUAGACCUAUAUAUUAUUAGAUACCAUAAUAUAUAUGUAAUAUAAAAUCUCUUUUGAUAUAUGUCGACAUACAUGAUAAGAGCUAGAAGAGAUGGAUAUAUAUAGUAUAGAUGAUGCAUGCAUGUCUGAACCUAAAUAAUUUCGACUACCUACGUAGCCUACUCUACUUAUCUGCUUAGUACGCACGUAUUAUAUAUAUCUUGUGUGUUUGUUAUUUAUCAAGCUUCCGUACGUCAAGCUUGAUACUUUUAUUAUUAGUUUAGUUGUUAAAAGUAAUAAUAAUAUAUAAUAUUUUUUCUUAUUUUAGCUUCAUUUCAUUAUUUUCUUGCAUUUCACAUACAUGUUCAUAGCCCUUGAUGCAUGUGAGUAUCACUUCCUCAACAUCAGCUUAAGACUUUUUUUACAAUUAUUAAUUUGUUUUCACCUUGUCUUCUAUCUUUUUCCCACUGAUAGAUAGAUUAUCAAUACAAUCCGAAAUUAAUAAGUUGGGAGUUCCCUUAAACCAAUCAAUUAGUAGUUUAAAAUGGUUUUUAUACUUGAAUCAUCAUCAACUUUCUCAUUCAAUCCCGUGUUGGGAUUGUAGACUUGUUCUUAUUGGGAUUUUUUAUUUGAUGUUUUAAUUAGUCACCCAUAUAUCCAUUAUGAUCCAAUGUUUCUAUAUACUCCGCGCGCGAGAUAACACAACAUGUUAUAUUCCAAUAAUAUUGUUUAAUUAAUAUCUACUCUCUUUGUUUAAUCAAUAUCUAAAACUUACAUCUCAAAUUUUGGUUUUUAUAUAUCUAUCAUCAUCAUGAUGACCAAUGACAACGACGUUCUGUAUCCAAAAGUAGUUGGGAGUAUGAAUGAAUUAUGAUUGAUUGGUAGCACAUCUAUAUAUAAAUCUAUCUACCAUUUCCAAGUGUUUGGUUUCAAUUUCUGGACGCAGUCAAGUGUCACCUUGCUUUUAAGAAGCAGCCAAUUUAGUCAGUUAGCUAUAUAUAUAUAUAUAUAUAUAUAUAUAUAUAUAUAUAUAUAUAUAGAGAGAGAGAGAGAGAGAGAGAGAGAGAGAGACACACACACACUACUACUACAGGAUGCAGUAGACUGAUCACUGCUUGCCACAAUAACCUCUAACGUGUCAGUAUCCUCUUCAAUUCCCUCCAUUUCCCUUGCCUAUAUAAACCCUCGACUCACAACCAUCAUCUUCACCACUUCACUACUAUCACAACCAUCUAGAGAGUACUUGUUGAGCUUAGUUUGAUUUCAAGUCGCACUAGCUUUUUGGUAAAAAUGGCAAAUAAUGGAGAGCAAUAUGGAAGCCGGACAGAUGCUUAUGGUAAUCCAGUUCUAAGCCAAACAGAUGAGUAUGGUAGAACUGGCACCGUCACAGGCACCAGUGGUUUGGGGGGAGGUCCUCAUUUUCAGUACUGACACCAAUACGCAUGGACAGCAGCAUCACCGCACCAGUAGCAACAGCUCCAGCUCUGUAAGUAGUUAUAUAAAUAUAUAUACUGCGUAUGAUUAAGUAGUACUAUGUUGGUGUAAAUUGUUGUUAAUGUGAUGAAUAUAUAUAUGUCAGUCUGAGGAGGAUGGAGAAGGGGGAAGAAGGAAGAAGAAAAUAGGGAUAACAGAGAAGAUAAAAGAGAAGCUGACAAACAAUGGACCAGGACCAGGACCAGCAGGCUUCACCUACUUGUACACCUGCUGCAGGUAGUGGUCGUGAAGGAUCAUAUGAAGGAGCUGCAGAGGGAGAGCAGCUGGAAACCGGUCAUGAGAAAAAAAAAAGAAUGAUGGACAUGAUCAAGGACAAGCUUCCUGGACGCGUUCACCAUUGAAUUGAAUCGAACUCAAUUAAAUGAAGGAUCAGGAGCUCUGCAUGCAUGUGUCUAUCUAUUUAUCCAUAUGUGACAUGAUUGAUCAAUAUAUGUCUGUGCCUAAAUUACUCGUACAUGAUCUUAUAUGCUUUGGUUUCUCCAGUGUUUGUUGGUAGCUAUAUCUGACAACCACUGGUGUGUUGUAGCUCUCUAUCUAUCUACGUAUAGAUCCUGUGUGUUUUGGUAAUAAGCUAGCAGUGGUAGCUGGAUGGCUCGAUCGUAUGAUCAGGAGUCUUCCUCUUCCACCGCGGGUAUGUAUGUCAUAUAUUUGUUGUCACAGUGUGUUGUUGAGCUUUGUUACUGCUCUCUUGAGCUUUUUUAUAUCAUUACUAUAAUAGUUGAACAAGAACUCCUUUUUUUUUACCUUAAUAAUGAAGUGUAG